rnacentral:lncRNA from 1 species
ACUGACCGUGUGGGCGGUGGGACAGCCCCAGGAUAUGAUCAGGCACUUGUCUUUCUGAUCUACCAUCUGGAACUUGCCUUUCCCUAGAUGACUCCACAUACCCAAACAGCUGCUGAAUCUCCAGUAGAUGAAGAAUCUAUAUUCUUCAUCUUGACAGUAGGAGGAGGGGGAACAAAAAAUUCUGCACUGCUUUGCUGUGCAGUGCUGUUCUGAAGUUAAUGUGAUUGUUGCCAUCAGGGAAGGAACAGAAUGUGGAUGUCAGAGCCUUUGCCAAAAGCCAACGGCAUUCUCAGGGACCCAGUGACACAAGGCCGGGAAUAUGUAUUUGUCAACUGCUGCGUCCUGACACUAGAACCUACUUGGCACACGUUGUGCAUUCAGAAUAGUUUAAUGACUUUGUUUAUAAGCUGCCCUUAAUGUCAACAUUCUGAAAUCCAUCAACGUCACCAGCAUUUUCUCAUGAAGGAGAAAAUGCCUCCAGGCUUACACAGAGUCUUCAACUGACAAUCUCCAAACCCAGACCUUGGGUUCAUAUGAUCAGUGCUAGAGGUCAACUGUAUGGAAAGACUGUCCCAUCUUCAGAGAGAGGUUUUCAUCACUUAUAUAUCGUUCAACCUCUAAAAAAAGGCUGACAACUGCUGGCUGCCAGCAACACAGAACAUAUCAGACACCACGGAGAGGAGGCUCGAGGUGGUCGGGUCAGAGCCAGGUCCCAAGACACCUUCCUCUGUUAGAUCUUGUUGACAGAUGCCUUGUCCCUCUGCUUGCUGCUGUGUUUCCAGUCCUGUCAACCUUGUUGUUGUUCACAUCUACAGCUAUGAAUAAAGACAACUCACAUGGUUCUGAGUGAGGACCACACAGUCAAGUCCUGGCACUCGACAGUUGCACCCCAGAGACACUACAAUGUCAUCUCCACCCAGACAGCUCUUCCCUGUGUACUGGCUGAGGAGGCUUCAGUGGAUCUAGAGUCACAUUACCAUAUAGGACAGCCAGUUUGUGGCUUUUGUCAAUACCACCUAGAAGUACAAUUACAAAACUUGACUACUGAGGCCGGACAAGCCGAGUCCCAGAUCUGGUUCUAGAGUACUCCUGGGAGGACCAAGAAUGGUCCAUGGGUUUUCUGCCAGCUGGCCCAGGUCUGGCUGGCUCCAAGGUGUUUCUAUGCUCAGGAGAGAGCCAUCACCACGUCUCUGAAAUACCAGAAGUACACUUGGGCCCGUGCAGGGCAGAGAACACUGAGGUCAGUGCUGACUCUGAGUGUCAUCAUCAUGGGGCUCCGAUGUCAGGACAGCAGGAAAGCAGCAUUGUCGUGGUGAGGAGACUGGAAAGCAAGUGAAUUCUUCUCUUAAGCCAUCA